UCAGUGUCCACCUGGGGAAUGACCGAGG
rnacentral:sRNA from 1 species